GGCCCGCUGAAAAACACGAAACGGGAAUGGCGCUGGGAUUUAACAAGUGAGGUGCCCGUCUCAGAUGGAGGUGAAGCUGUGCCCACCCCUCCUGCUGUGGGUGCCAGGAUGCCACCUCCUGCCCAUCUGUGCUCCUUGCUCCAGCAUGGCAGGCGAGUGGCAGUGGCGCGGAUGCUUUCGGAGGCCUCUGCCGCGCGGCGUGGUACCAGGGCGAUGCCGGGGUGCCAGGGCCUUGGCAGCAUGGCAGGCAUGAACAUGGCGGAACACAUCUCCUGUGUGUUCUGACAGCUGACCUUUCAUUAUGAAUUCCUCCAAUCAGUCUGGUCCGAAACACACUGUAUUCACAUGAAGAAGCUCAUCCGUGCUGAAGACAUGAUGUCAGCAGGGUGGACAGAUGAAAUAUGGGAAGUAUUUCACACAUUUACAAGAGGCAGAGAGAAGGACAGAAAUAUAAACCGUCUUCUGUUUCUGCUCUUGUUAGUUUCCUGCCUCCAUGUGUGUGUGUAUUCAAUGGUUUAACAUAAGGCCUAAGUAAAAGGCAUCCCAAGCUUUAAUUGGUCUAAAAUGUUUACUUACAAUAAUUCCACAUAGGCUAUAAGAAUGAAAAAAAUAUAUAUAUAACAAUGGAGUAUGAUAUGAUGCAUAAUAUAACAUUCCAGGAGUGCAUGUAUUUAUGUAUGAAAUUCUUUUCUGCCAUCAGUUUGAGUUGUGUUCAGUCCAGACACAUGCAAUCUGCACCCAAUCAAUACUCACAGUGGGAAGAGAACAAGCCCAAGAGAGAGGCUGAGGUUCCCGUAAUGUCAGCUGAAAAAAGUCCAGCGCAGGAGUCAGUCUGUCUCCUGCAUCACAAUACCCAGAAUGCAUCAUCACCCCACCCUCAGACAUAGCCUGCUGCAACCACAGACUCUCUCUUAUAAAGUGGAUCUCUGCCACCAUGUCUU